rnacentral:rRNA from 1 species
UACAGAGGGUGCAAGCGUUGUUCGGAAUCAUUGGGCGUAAAGGGCGUGUAGGCGGCCAGGUAGGUCUGGUGUGAAAACUCGAGGCUCAACCUCGAGAGGUCAUCGGAAACCAUCUGGCUAGAGUCCGGAAGAGGAGAGUGGAAUUCCUGGUGUAGCGGUGAAAUGCGCAGAUAUCAGGAAGAACACCCGUGGCGAAGGCGGCUCUCUGGGACGGUACUGACGCUGAGACGCGAAAGCGUGGGGAGCGAACAGG